UGAAAGGAGGAGGGUUUUGAAAUGGGAGGAACGUUUCCAUCCUAUUUAUUGCUCAGACAUAAUAUUGGACUUCCAUUCCAAUAAGGAAACAAACAUGGGACUACUAACUAUAGCAGCAGCUUCUGUAAUCACCGCAGGCGGAGCGGUUGUGGCUGCCCCGGUGGUUCUAGGGGCCAUCGGCUUCACCUCCAUCGGAAUCGCUGCUGGUUCCUACGCGGCAGGCAUGAUGUCUACAGCAGCCAUCGCGAACGGAGGAGGGGUUGCAGCAGGAAGUCUAGUGGCUCUUCUGCAGUUAGCAGGAGGUGUAGCUACUGUGGCUCUGACUCCUGCUCUUCUGGCUGCACUUGGCUUCACCACAACCGGAAUAGCAGCGGGCUCCAUUGCUGCAAAGAUGAUGUCUUCAUUUACCGUUUUCUAUGGAGGGGGGAUUCCAGCUGGAGGCCUGGUGGCAACCUUACAGUCUAUUGGUAUGACAGGACUAGGAUGGUUUGGAACUGGAGCUGUGGCUGGUGCUGGAAGUACAGUUGGCUGGAUGGUAUCAAAGAUUUGUAAUGUAAAUGUAACGGUGCAAGACAAUCCCUAGAAUGGAAAGGAACAUAUUUUCUCAUCUCCAGCAAAUUUACAAAUCCUGUUGUAUCCUGUAUAAUACACCAUAAUCAUGUCUCAAUGAGUAGAUUCAGGAUUUAACAUAAGAAUGAUCUAAUACAACUGAAAGAAACAUAUUAUUUUUUUCUUUUAAUAUAUCUUGUUGAAGGUUGUGUGUUAGGUGUCGGUCUUGCUGUUAGUAUUUUCUAAAUUAUGAGAUUAUGCUGCUUCUGCUCAUCCUUCUGUAAAGGCAAAAAAAUAAAGUUUGAAGCUUUGUAUAUUCUGUUGGGAAGAUACAAUAUGUAUAACUGCUCACAUUUGUGCUCAAUAAAUCAAUCAAUAUAAA